UCUAUCCACAGACACAGGUAAAGCAUGGGAUGCAGCAGUGAAAUGUUUACCACACUCUCUGCCUAUGUUCCUCAAACCUGAAAUGGAGAGGCCACUAGUAGCAUGAGGGUAGG
ensembl:misc_RNA